CGGAGGGUGCAAGCGUUAUCCGGAUUCACUGGGUUUAAAGGGUGCGUAGGUGGGCAAGUAAGUCAGUGGUGAAAUCUCCGGGCUUAACCCGGAAACUGCCAUUGAUACUAUUUGUCUUGAAUACUGUGGAGGUCAGCGGAAUAUGUCAUGUAGCGGUGAAAUGCUUAGAUAUGACAUAGAACACCAAUUGCGAAGGCAGCUGGCUACACAAAUAUUGACACUGAGGCACGAAAGCGUGGGGAUCAAACAGGAUUAGAUACCCUGGUAGUCCACGCCCUAAACUAUGGAUACUCGACAUUUGCGAUAAACUGCAGGUGUCUGAGCGAAAGCAUUAAGUAUCCCACCCGGGAAGUACGAUCGCAAGAUUG
rnacentral:rRNA from 1 species